rnacentral:rRNA from 1 species
UGGGGAAUAUUGCACAACGGGCGAAAGCCUGAUGCAGCGACGCCGCGUGAGGGAUGACGGCCUUCGGUUUGUAAACCUCUUUCAGUAGGGACGAAGCGCAAGUGACGGUACCUGCAGAAGAACCACCGGCUAACUACGUGCCAGCACCCGCGGUAAUACGUAGGGUGCGAGCGUUGUCCGUAAUUACUGGGCGGAAAGAGCUCGUAGGCGGGUUGUCACGUCGUCUGUGAAAUCCUAGGGCUUAACCCUGGACGUGCAGGCGAUACGGGCUGACUUGAGUACUACAAGGGAGACUGGAAUUUCUGGUGUAGCGGUGGAAUGCACAGAUAUCAGGAAGAACACCGAUGGCGAAGGCAGGUCUCUGGGUAGUAACUGACGCUGAGGAGCGAAAGCAUGGGUAGCGAACAGG